CAAUGUGUCUCAGAGUGUUGU
rnacentral:miRNA from 1 species